UCCUCCCUCUGGCGGCGUGCUUAACACAUGCAAGUCGAACGGAAAGGCCCUGCUUUUGUGGGGUGCUCGAGUGGCGAACGGGUGAGUAACACGUGAGUAACCUGCCCUUGACUUUGGGAUAACUUCAGGAAACUGGGGCUAAUACCGGAUAGGAGCUCCUGCUGCAUGGUGGGGGUUGGAAAGUUUCGGCGGUUGGGGAUGGACUCGCGGCUUAUCAGCUUGUUGGUGGGGUAGUGGCUUACCAAGGCUUUGACGGGUAGCCGGCCUGAGAGGGUGACCGGCCACAUUGGGACUGAGAUACGGCCCAGACUCCUACGGGAGGCAGCAGUGGGGAAUAUUGCACAAUGGGCGGAAGCCUGAUGCAGCAACGCCGCGUGCGGGAUGACGGCCUUCGGGUUGUAAACCUCUUUCGCCUGUGGCGAAGCGUGAGUGACGGUAAUGGGUAAAGAAGCACCGGCUAACUACGUG
rnacentral:rRNA from 1 species